UUCCUCUUUCCGCCAUCUUGGCGUCUUUGGAGGCCUGCUGGGAACAGGACUUCUAAAAAAACAAGUAUGUCUGGAAGGCUGUGGUGCAAGGCCAUUUUUGCUGGCUACAAGCGAGGCCUCCGGAACCAAAGAGAGCACACGGCUCUUCUUAAAAUUGAAGGUGUUUAUGCCCGAGAUGAAACUGAGUUCUACUUAGGCAAGAGGUGUGCUUAUGUGUACAAAGCAAAAAACAAUACAGUGACUCCUGGAGGCAAACCAAACAAAACCAGAGUGAUCUGGGGAAAAGUAACUCGGGCCCAUGGAAACAGUGGCAUGGUUCGUGCCAAAUUCCGAAGCAACCUUCCUGCAAAGGCCAUUGGACACAGAAUCCGUGUGGUAAGUACUAGUUGCAAAAUAAAUGGCUCUUUUGAUCCUUCCUUCCGUCCUCUAAAAACUUGUGAGUGUACAAGUCCUGAGUAUAAAACCAUUCCAUAAUUGGUGACUUACGUGAAAAAUACAGAACCCCCUGACCGGGCAGGGUAAAGCAAGUGAGGGAGUGCGGGCAGUGUGCAAAUGAAUGACACUUAAGUUUCAGUUGUCAUUAAAGCAUCCUGAGAGCAUGAAUACUUGGACAGGAUUUAUGUGUGCCUUUGAGACAGUCUCACUGUGUAGCCCUGGUUGACCUGGAACUUGUUAUGUACACAAGGCUGAUAUUUUAAUUUGAGGCAGGUUCUCACAAAGUUGUUAAGGCUGGCCUAGAACUUGAAAGUCCUCCUGCCUUAGCCUUCUAAAUCGUUGGGAUUUCAGGCCAGUGCUACCAGGCCCAUCUUAUGCUAUACCUGUUGGGGAGUUCUGAGGAAUGUUAUGUUUUGUUCGUGUCUACCAUCUCAGUACUGCCAGAGUAGAUAGAGACUUUAUCCUGUACUUAGAAAGCAUGCUCAUGCCAGGUUUCAGGACUCUGGCUCAUGUCUUGGACAUACUGUGUUGAGAUUUUUGUUUGGGUCCAUUUAUAGUAUACUCUAAUGGUGGGAAUGUUGGAUCAGUGCCACCGUACCUGACUUGCAUUUUAAUUUUAGGGCUGUUAUUUUACAUUUACGUGUAUGUUUGUAAACACACAUGGCACAGCAGUCUAUGAAGGUCAAAGGGCAGUUUGUAGGGGUCAGCUCA
rnacentral:lncRNA from 1 species